AUUAACUGUCACAUUACAAAAGGACAGCAAGUGUCUAGGCCACGAUCCCAUCCGAUCUCGGAAGCUAAGCAGGGUAGGGCCUGGUUAGUACUGGGAUGGAAGACCACCUAGGAAGACCUGGUGCUGUAGGUG
rnacentral:rRNA from 1 species